GCCUACGGGACGGGGGGCAGCAGUGGGGAAUAUUGCACAAUGGGGGAAACCCUGAUGCAGCGACGCCGCGUGAGCGAAGAAGUAUUUCGGUAUGUAAAGCUCUAUCAGCAGGGAAGAAAAAUGACGGUACCUGAGUAAGAAGCACCGGCUAAAUACGUGCCAGCAGCCGCGGUAAUACGUAUGGUGCAAGCGUUAUCCGGAUUUACUGGGUGUAAAGGGAGCGCAGGCGGUGCGGCAAGUCUGAUGUGAAAGCCCGGGGCUCAACCCCGGGACUGCAUUGGAAACUACCGAACUAGAGUGUCGGG
rnacentral:rRNA from 1 species